CGGCGGACGGGUGAGUAACACGUGGGCAACCUGCCUGUAAGACUGGGAUAACUCCGGGAAACCGGGGCUAAUACCGGAUAACUCUUUUCCUCACAUGAGGAAAAGCUGAAAGAUGGUUUCGGCUAUCACUUACAGAUGGGCCCGCGGCGCAUUAGCUAGUUGGUGAGGUAACGGCUCACCAAGGCCACGAUGCGUAGCCGACCUGAGAGGGUGAUCGGCCACACUGGGACUGAGACACGGCCCAGACUCCUACGGGAGGCAGCAGUAGGGAAUCUUCCGCAAUGGACGAAAGUCUGACGGAGCAACGCCGCGUGAGUGAUGAAGGUUUUCGGAUCGUAAAACUCUGUUGUCAGGGAAGAACAAGUACCGGAGUAACUGCCGGUACCUUGACGGUACCUGACCAGAAAGCCACGGCUAACUACGUGCCAGCAGCCGCGGUAAUACGUAGGUGGCAAGCGUUGUCCGGAAUUAUUGGGCGUAAAGCGCGCGCAGGCGGUUCCUUAAGUCUGAUGUGAAAGCCCCCGGCUCAACCGGGGAGGGUCAUUGGAAACUGGGGAACUUGAGUGCAGAAGAGAAGAGUGGAAUUCCACGUGUAGCGGUGAAAUGCGUAGAGAUGUGGAGGAACACCAGUGGCGAAGGCGACUCUUUGGUCUGUAACUGACGCUGAGGCGCGAAAGCGUGGGGAGCAAACAGGAUUAGAUACCUGGUAGUCCACGCCGUAAACGAUGAGUG
rnacentral:rRNA from 1 species